rnacentral:rRNA from 1 species
AUCUGCCUUUGAGCGGGGGACAACCUUUGGAAACGAAUGCUAAUACCGCAUAACAACUUUAAACACAAGUUUUAAGUUUGAAAGAUGCAAUUGCAUCACUCAAAGAUGAUCCCGCGUUGUAUUAGCUAGUUGGUGAGGUAAAGGCUCACCAAGGCGAUGAUACAUAGCCGACCUGAGAGGGUGAUCGGCCACAUUGGGACUGAGACACGGCCCAAACUCCUACGGGAGGCAGCAGUAGGGAAUCUUCGGCAAUGGACGAAAGUCUGACCGAGCAACGCCGCGUGAGUGAAGAAGGUUUUCGGAUCGUAAAACUCUGUUGGUAGAGAAGAACGUUGGUGAGAGUGGAAAGCUCAUCAAGUGACGGUAACUACCCAGAAAGGGACGGCUAACUACGUGCCAGCAGCCGCGGUAAUACGUAGGUCCCGAGCGUUGUCCGGAUUUAUUGGGCGUAAAGCGAGCGCAGGUGGUUUAUUAAGUCUGGUGUAAAAGGCAGUGGCUCAACCAUUGUAUGCAUUGGAAACUGGUAGACUUGAGUGCAGGAGAGGAGAGUGGAAUUCCAUGUGUAGCGGUGAAAUGCGUAGAUAUAUGGAGGAACACCGGUGGCGAAAGCGGCUCUCUGGCCUGUAACUGACACUGAGGCUCGAAAGCGUGGGGAGCAAACAGGAUUAGAUACCCUGGUAGUCCACGCCGUAAACGAUGAGUGCUAGAUGUAGGGAGCUAUAAGUUCUCUGUAUCGCAGCUAACGCAAUAAGCACUC